GUGAGGAAUUUUCCGCAAUGGGCGAAAGCCUGACGGAGCAAUGCCGCGUGAAGGAUGAAGGCCUAUGGGUUGUAAACUUCUUUUCUCAGAAAAGAAUUAUGACGGUAUCUGAGGAAUAAGCAUCGGCUAACUCUGUGCCAGCAGCCGCGGUAAGACAGAGGAUGCAAGCGUUAUCCGGAAUGAUUGGGCGUAAAGCGUCUGUAGGUUGUUUAAAAAGUAUUCUGUCAAAGAUUAGGGCUUAACCCUAGAUAGGCAGAAUAAACUUUUAAGCUAGAGUUUGGUAGAGGCAGAGGGAAUUCCCGGUGGAGCGGUGAAAUGCGUAGAUAUCGGGAGGAACACCAAAGGCGAAGGCACUCUGCUGGGCCAAUACUAACACUGAGAGACGAAAGCGAGGGGAGCAAAUGGGAUUAGAUCCCAGUAGUCC
rnacentral:rRNA from 1 species